GACGAACGCUGGCGGCGUGCUUAACACAUGCAAGUCGAGCGGUAAGGCCCUUUCGGGGGUACACGAGCGGCGAACGGGUGAGUAACACGUGGGUGACCUGCCCUCAGCUCUGGGAUAAGCCUGGGAAACCGGGUCUAAUACCGGAUAUGACUCCAUGACGCAUGUUGUGGGGUGGAAAGCCUUGUGCGGCUGAGGAUGGGCCCGCGGCCUAUCAGCUUGUUGGUGGGGUGAUGGCCUACCAAGGCGACGACGGGUAGCCGGCCUGAGAGGGCGACCGGCCGCACUGGGACUGAGACACGGCCCAGACUCCUACGGGAGGCAGCAGUGGGGAAUCUUGCGCAAUGGGCGAAAGCCUGACGCAGCGACGCCGCGUGAGGGAUGACGGCCU
rnacentral:rRNA from 1 species